CCACUUCGGUGGCGCAGAGACAGGUGCUGCAUGGCUGUCGUCAGCUCGUGUCGUGAGAUGUUGGGUUAAGUCCCGCAACGAGCGCAACCCUCGCCCUUAGUUGCCAGCAUUCAGUUGGGCACUCUAAGGGGACUGCCGGUGAUAAGCCGAGAGGAAGGUGGGGAUGACGUCAAGUCCUCAUGGCCCUUACGGGCUGAGCUACACACGUGCUACAAUGGUGGUGACAGUGGGCAGCGAGCACGCGAGUGUGAGCUAAUCUCCAAAAGCCAUCUCAGUUCGGAUUGCACUCUGCAACUCGAGUGCAUGAAGUUGGAAUCGCUAGUAAUCGCGGAUCAGCAUGCCGCGGUGAAUACAUUCCCGGGCCUUGUACACACCGCCCGUCACACCAUGGGAGUUGGUUUUACCCGAAGGUAGUGCGCUAACCGCAAGGAGGCAGCUAACCACGGUA
rnacentral:rRNA from 1 species